CCCUGAAAAGGGAAUCUGAGGCCAGGCCUGGGGGUGGGAGUGUCGAUUAGACCCAUCUACGGCUGCAAGAGCACGGAAACUGCCCCUCACCUGGGAAGCAUGGAGGACAGGCUCUGGCUUCCUCCAGUGGUCCUAAUUCCCCACGGCAUCCAGCACACGGAGGACCCACUCUCUCCAGCUUGACUACAGUGGUCCCUUCUCUGGGUGCCGACAACACCCUGGAUCUCUCUCCACCAGAAGACUGACCAAACUGCACUGAGCUGCCUGUCACUGUCUCCCUAUCAGACCUGAAUCACUAACCAUAAUGUAAUAAGAUGGAUGCUGGAAGUGCUGGAGAGAGUGAUUCAUUUCACUGGGGAGCUGAGGAGGGAGGAGUGGAAGAGUCAAAGGUCAUCACAGAUGAGGUUUGGACAGCCUCAGAAACAUCUUGCCCUAAACAUCCUUCAAGUUCUGUGGCAACAGACACCUCUUAGUGAUGAAGAACUGAGUGUUUCCCCUUAAAUUUGGGAACACAUGAAAAAUGUCUAC